rnacentral:lncRNA from 1 species
AAACUCAAGCAGAGUCUCACUUGGGAGUGCUAUAUCUGUGAGGUCCUUUGUAGAAUUAGUAAUUAAAACUUAAGACUUGUGUGCAAGUAGGAUCUUUUAAGUUCCUAAAAGAGAUUCCCUAGUCAAGGCUGUGUCAAACAGGCACAGGUCUCCGUUGGCAGCACUGGUAACCUGCUCUCUUUGAAUAGAGCCAUGGGGAUUAUACUUAAGUUUUAAAGUCAAAAGAUUAGGCUUCAAAUAAUAACUCUUUCAAUUUUCAGCUUUCUCGUGUAACCCAACCUCUUUGAACUGCAUUUUCCUCUUUUAAUAGUACUCUGGCAGGGUUAUUGCGCGAUUAAAUGAGACUGUGCUUGUGAAAUGCCAAGUUCUUAGAUCUUAAUUCUCAGAUAGAACCAGGUUGAAUGGUGAUGUAAUAUGAUGCCUCUGUAGAACAGUAUUGCACGGAGUAAGCCACUGGAAAUGUAGACAACAAAGAGCAGCUCACCUGGACUAAUCAAUAAAGCAGAAUGAGGAGACCAACUUUCAAGUCGGGAAAAUGUGUCUUGUUUACCUGUAAGUCAUUUUGUUAAUACAAGUGAGUGAACUAAAUGUGAGAUGAACGCAGAGCUGACUAUUCAGCAUUUCUGAUGAUAGGAAGAACUGUUCUGAUACACAACGCUUUGAAGAAUGAUGUUAGAGAAACACAGGACAAGGCCAAUAGCAACGCCUCAACAAUUAGUGCCAAAAUAUGCAAGAAAAAUGCAACCAGAAAGACAAAGUUUUGGAUGACAAAAGCCAGCAAGGAAGGAAAAUGUAUUUCAUCCUGA